AGAAUUUUCAUCAUAAUGUCGAUCGCACAAACUGUAUUUUUUUUACUGUUCAUAAUAUGUUUGGCGGAUACACUCAGCUGGUCAAAAUAUGGACGUACAUGCAAGGAUAUUAGAUGCUUACCAUGUGAAGUGUGUAUCAUUGUCCAAGACGAAUGUUUGCAUUUUCAAAUAGAAGGCAGUGAAUGUGGAAAAUAUCCAGUAUGUGGGAAAUUGGUUCAAACAAAUGAUUUAACAGAACCAGAUAUACAUGUGUCCCCUAGUGUGUCCCUUUACGACCAAUGGAUGGAAGUGGCUGCAAAAUAUCGCAGAUCCAAUCUGCUCUAUUUAUCGAAACAACAGGAGGCCGCUUCAACACAUUGCACACUUUCACGCUUUUUAUUCAUCAUCAUUAGUAUUCUUAAUUUUUU